CUUCUUCAGCCAAAAAAAAAAAAUAUAUAUAUAUAUAUAUAUAUAUGUUAGUAAAAAUGGCUAAUAUCGCAAUUCUCAUUUUCUGCAUUUUCAAAAUUUUCCAAACACAAAUAGCUAGAGCUCUCUCUCUCCGGUUGAGAAUUGUAAAAUCGCUGAACUAUAGCUCGUGAUUUUCAUUUCUUUCCGCAUACCGAUUAUCUGUUUGUUUUCUUGGAGUUGUUGUUUUGGAAGUGAAGGAAGCAGAAAUCUUCGAGCUGCAGGACCUUAUUCUCUGUUUCACAAUUCUUUUCGAAAAUCAAACGUUUACAUCGCUCUCUCUGGCCGAUACGUCUUUCGAUGUUCGCUGGUGAUUACGCUGUUAUUGUCCAGAAAUAAGCAGAAAUCACGAAGAAUUUUUCAAAUUUUCGAAAGACAAACAUUCUCUAGUAUAUUUCUCGAUUUCCUUUGCACAGGCCGAAACUAUGGUUACGUUUGAGAAACCGAUGGAAGCAAAAUCAUCAAGCACCACUCUCUUGGGAAGUCCACCAUUUUGCUCCAAACCGUGAAUCUCAUGCGAAGAAUAGAACGGCCAUUGCCAGACCAUAUUAUAGGGAGUCUUAUAUGGCAUUUUAAGAUACCAACAAAGGAUAUUCAAAGGAAUGAAGCGAAAAUAGGGGUUGUCUGAUUUGGUGCUUCAAAUGAAGGAUUCAUUGAAAAAUUUUUGCAAAAAUAUUGCCAACGAGUUGACCAGAAUAAACUGGUUCAAUGUGAUUGAGGAUGAUGAUGAUCAAGCAUUGCAUGAGUUGCAUGGGACCUACUCUUCUUCACUAUUUGAAUAUAGUAGUAGUAGCAAGUGCAACUUUCCAACAUACGAAGUGGAUUCUGGAUGAGGAAAUACAGUUUGGGUGAGCGUGCCAAGUUUCUUGGACAACAAUGUGAUCAUUCUGAUAGAUAAUAAGAGUGAAGGGAUUGAAGCAUAUCUUAGUUUGGAUAAGGAGCAGAUGACUGUGUUUGGACGUGAUGAAGAACUACUAUGUAUGCAAAUCCCAUCUCCUUUCAAGUGCGUCUAAUAAGUUUCGGAUACAGUUUGUUAUGUGCUGUAAGCCCAAAUCCCAUAUUGUUUACCGAUCCAAUUAUGACAAUCUUGAGCCUAGAGUAAUUAGCCCAGUUAUUAAAAGGAAGUAAAUGCAAGCUGGCGUUUGUUGUUUGUUCCUAAUAAUGAAUUGGAGUUCAUUCUUUUUUUUUUUUUUUUCAAGAAUUAUUGUAUUAAACAAAAGCUAGACUGAAGAACAAGAAAAGUCCCAACGUAUU